rnacentral:rRNA from 1 species
GACGAACCGUGCAAACGUUAUUCGGAAUCACUGGGCUUAAAGGGCGCGUAGGCGGGCCGCCAGGUCCGGGGUGAAAGCCUCCAGCUCAACUGGAGAAGUGCCUUGGAUACCGGCGGCCUCGAGGGAGGCAGGGGCGUGCGGAACUUCGGGUGGAGCGGUGAAAUGCGUAGAUAUCCGAAGGAACACCGGUGGCGAAAGCGGCGCGCUGGACCUCUUCUGACGCUGAGGCGCGAAAGCCAGGGGAGCAAACGGG